AUACAAAACAACAAGUAAACAAAUAGAGGGGCUAAACUGUGGAAUAGUCUCCCAAAUGAAUUAAGAGGAACAGAAUCACUAGCUAUAUUCAAUAAAAACGUAUGACACCUGGCUACUAAUUAGAGUUUUCAAACCCAUAUUUACCUUGACUAUUUAAUCUAUUAAUAUUUACUAUUAUGUAUGUAUGUAUGUAUGUACUGUAUGUGCUAUUAUCUAUUUAAUUAUGUAUGUAAUUGUAAUAACUGCAUGUAAGUAACUGUAUUUGUAUGUUUAAUUUUUCUAAAUUUUUAAUGUAAAUUUAAUGCUACGCCCCCUUGGAAAUCAGCUUUUGCUGUAGGGGUUAGCGUAGUAAAAUAAAGUUUUACCUACUUUACCUACUAAAGACAAGGACUAGAACACUAUUUAUGAGCAACAGCUUAAGUUGAAAGAACGGCAUUUAGAGCAGUAGGUUUUCAAAGUGCGCAUUCUGUUAACAUCGAAAGAAGAGUCUAAUUGAGAAGAGUAUAGUGAAUAUGGAACAGACGAACUGUUACGAAUGAUCGGAGGGUGUUCCAUAGAAAGACAAUUCGGUUAAAAAAAUAAUUUCUAAACUGAAGAGAGGUUUUGCACGCGGAUUGACUUGAAACAAGUUGUCCUUGCUUGAACGGGUGCGAGACGAGCGAUUAGAAGAAAAGGUCACAAAAGAUGAGAUAUCAGGUCGUAUAGAGGCCCCACAAUCUAAUUAUUUCUAUAUUAAAUUGAACUCCUACCUUGAUUCCAACAUAUUGCUCCUAGUUUAGUACAUCUAGCAGUAUAAUUUUGUAUGAAGAUCCGCGUUCAAAUUAGGUUCAAACUAUUUCUAAAUCGUCGAAGGUUGUUAAUCCAAUAAUGUUGGCUGGUGCAUGUUGGAUGUCAAGCUCAUACGGACCCAACAUGUUGUGUUUUGUUCAACAGGAUGUAUGGUGAUGUUGGACCAACACUGUCGGAUUUGUUACGAUCUUACGUCAUCAGAAACUAAUCAUGCAAUCAGAGCCGGUUCCUAAUUUUGUUUAUCUGUAAAUCUGUAAUUGAUCGAUUUUGCAUGUGUUUAGUAUUUUGGUUAGCACAUUUUCCCUAAUUCACUAAAUUUACACCUAAAUAUGUAAGGAAUUAAUAAAAAUGUUAUUGCUUUAGACGUAAUGAAAGAAAAUCUUUCCAAGAC